rnacentral:rRNA from 1 species
CGGCUUCUUAAGAGUCGAAGUGCAAGACAUACUGCUUGGCUAGAGACCGGGAGACGUAAGGAGUACGGUAAGGGUAACGGUAAAAUGUGUUGAUCCUUACUGGACUAACAAUGGCGAAGGCAUCUUACGAGAACGGAUCUGACAGUGAGGGAUGAAGGCUAGGGGCGCAAAACGGAUUAGAUACCCGUGUAGUCCUAGCAGUAAACACUGCACACUAAACAUUGGGACCUCUUCGGGAGGCCUCAGUGCUGUAGCGAAGGCGUAGAGUGUGCUACCUGGGAAGUAUAGCCGCAAGGCCGAAACUUAAAGGAAUAGGCGGGGGGAUACUACAACGAGUGACGCGUGCGGUUCAAUUAGAUUCUACACCGUGAACCUCACCAGGACCGACAGCAGGAUGAAGGUCAGUCUAAAGGGCUUACCUGACACGCUGAGAGGAGAUGCAUGGCCAACGUCAGCCUGUGCCGUGAGGUGACCUGUUAAAUCAGGUAACAGGCGAGACCCACGUACAUAUUUACUAUGCGUACAAUAUGUAGACUGCCUGGGUAACCAGGAGGAGGGUGUGGGCUACGUUAGGUGAGUACGUCCCGAAUGCCCUGGGCUACACGCGCGCGGCAAUGCUGCAAUCAAAGGGCUGCGACACCGAGAGGUGAAGCUAAUCUCAUAAACUGCAGCUUAGUUCAGAUUGAGG